UUUACCGUCCUAAUGCCAUACACACGAAUGUACAAACAGGAUUUGUGUACUCUGGUCAGAUCAGUCACAUUUUGCAGAAGUGUCUUGCUCAAAUGAGGUUCCUUAAAAUUUAAACAAAGUAAACAGAUACAUAUUAUUCUGUAAACCUUUCACUGUCUCUUACCCCACAUUUAAUAAAAGGUGAGAAAGGACAUCAAUGUAAAGAAUGUGGCAAGUGCUUCAGGCGCCAUGAUCAUCUGACGGUCCACUAUAAGAGCAUUCAUCUGGGAGAGAAAGUUUGGCAGAAGUAUAAAACCGCUGUGCAUCAGUGUGAGGUUUGCAAGAAAGAAUUUAAAGGAAAGUCCAGUCUGGAAAUGCACUUCAGGACCCACUCAGGUGAGAAACCCCACAGGUGUCCAGAGUGCAACCAGACAUUUCGGAUCAAGAAGACCUUGACAAAGCACAUGGUGAUUUUCAAGUUCUUAGGUGUUUUUCAACUCUUGCCCAACUUGAAAUGGCCUGGUACAUGAACCUCAAAGGACGCACGGGACAACUCCUUCCAACACAGCUCAAUUUUUAUUUUUUCCUUAUUUGUUUCUUGUUGAUGAGUGGUUGGUCUAUCAGGUUGAAAACCUUCAAAACACAAAAAGCAUAAGUUAUCCAAACAUGCAAAUAAAUUUUAAACAAUUUUCAGUACCAAUGCUUACAACAGGUGGAAUUUCUGAAACAAUUCCAACUAAUGACUAAGAGACUGUUGAAUGCAAACAGUAUGCAGCAUUG